CCCUCCCGGGGAGCCAUUGUUCCUGAGGCGGGCGGGGGCGCGGGCCGGGGUCGGGGAUCCUUCUGGCUGGUCAGACGGCGCCGAGGAUGCUGGAGAGCGCUCCGGGACUGUGUCUCAGAAGCCCUUUGUGAGCCUUUCCCACGCGCCUUCUAACCCUGCACGAGCUCAGGUGGUCUUUCGUGGGUUUUCCAGGUGGAGGUAAAGGCAAAAGGUGACUUGUCCAAGGUGGCUGAACAAGACACAACGAUGAAUAAAUGAAGACAUUCAUUACAGCUUUUGUGUAAUAGUAAAAUAUGGCUCCGUUGGUCAUCAGUGGGACUGAGAUGAGGAAGCAAAGUCCUAAUAAGGUUCAGUCCCUGAGGCUACAUCCGUAAGUUGAGUCGACUGCUUCGCGCCAGCCCUGAGGCCUCCCCACACCACAAACUCGGAGGAGGGAGUCAUCAUGUUCUGAUACAAGAUGGAGGAAAGAUUGGCACCAGCAGGGCGGCAACCAGACUCCUAGCAACAACUGAGAGGUGCGAUCAAGCUGGGUGCCGUUCAGACGGAUGGAUCAGGAAAGCAUAUAUGUGUUUCAGUGGCGUGUCACUCAGCCUUAAAGACUGAUGGGACCCUCUCACUUGCAACACUUAGAGCUGGGAAACAAAAUGCAGACUGAGUUAAGCAAGACACAGAAAACACAGCUCGUGGGCUCUCCCAUACCUGGAUGCUUAAACACAUGGACCUUUAAGUAGAGUGAGUGACAACUAGAGGUUGAGAAGGGAGCAAGGGUCAGGGGAGGGUCAAGGACGAUGGUUGGCUAUCACUAAUACACCCUAUGCAUGUGUAGAGAUGUUAAAUGAAGCUCCCCUUGUACGUGUGACUAAUAUAAAUGUUUU
rnacentral:sRNA from 1 species